rnacentral:rRNA from 1 species
UGGGGAAUAUUGGGCAAUGGGCGCAAGCCUGACCCAGCAACGCCGCGUGAAGGAAGAAGGUCUUUCGGGUUGUAAACUUCUUUUAUUGAGGACGAAACAAAUUGACGGUACUCGAUGAAUAAGCCACGGCUAACUACGUGCC